CGAUCUGUCACAACUUCGGGGGACGGAGUGAGAGUGGGGGACAGGGUCCUCCUUUGGGGAGUCCCUGCGUUCGGAGCAGGCAGUGGGCCCAGUCCGAGCCAGAUGCAUUGCGAUCCCCUGGGGAGCGUGUGCAAGGCAGGACUCCCAGGAGAGCAAGGGAGGCCCCUGGAGAUCUCGAUGCUGUGAAGUCCGCCGACCCAGUGGAAUCCUUCUGGAUCCGUAGGUCAUGCCGAGCGCUGCUCUAGGCACGGGAAUAGCGCAAUAAACACGGCCCGGCCCUGCGCCCCUGGCACUUACUGCAGAGGGAGGCUUGCUGCGCCCCAUCUGGUUUGAGCUACGGACCCUUCGGCUGUGUGGCGCCGCCUGUGGCGGCAAUGCUUUUAAAUAAAUACUGAAAAUACGUCGCAUUGUGAAGGCAGUGAAUUACGCGGAGAUGUAGUUAUCAGAACCCAUGAAACAGGAACAUACGCGCUUCUUUAUUACAAGCUCAGUAACAAGAUCAAGCGGCUGGUCUGAUAGCGACUGCAAUUUUGCAGAAAGGCUGGGUAUAACUGACACUUGGGAACGUCUGCUGUGACUGUAAUAUAAGAUGAAAAUAUCUGUAAUUUCUACUGGGCAUAAAGUCGCAGGAACCGCUAA